UAUUUCCUGCAGCGUUCGAGGGUCGCUGGGUUACUUCUUGAGCCUAAUGACAAACCCCGGGAGCUUUAGAACCUCGAUGUGCGCAGGUCCGCCAUGAGCGGAAAGCCUGAUUCACGGUUCGCUGAUCCCACCUGAACCUCUGGUUCAAGGGCGAAAGCGCCCCACGGCGCAGGCGGGAAAUAC
rnacentral:other from 1 species